GAUGAACGCUGGCGGCGUGCCUAAUACAUGCAAGUCGAGCGAACAGAUGAGGAGCUUGCUCCUCUGACGUUAGCGGCGGACGGGUGAGUAACACGUGGAUAACCUACCUAUAAGACUGGGAUAACUUCGGGAAACCGGAGCUAAUACCGGAUAAUAUAUUGAACCGCAUGGUUCAAUAGUGAAAGACGGUUUUGCUGGCACUUAUAGAUGGAUCCGCGCCGCAUUAGCUAGUUGGUAAGGUAACGGCUUACCAAGGCAACGAUGCGUAGCCGACCUGAGAGGGGGAUCGGCCACACUGGAACUGAGACACGGUCCAGACUCCUACGGGAGGCAGCAGUAGGGAAUCUUCCGCAAUGGGCGAAAGCCUGACGGAGCAACGCCGCGUGAGUGAUGAAGGUCUUCGGAUCGUAAAACUCUGUUAUUAGGGAAGAACAAAUGUGUAAGUAACUAUGCACGUCUUGACGGUACCUAAUCAGAAAGCCACGGCUAACUACGUG
rnacentral:rRNA from 1 species